UACGUAGGGUGCAAGCGUUGUCCGGAUUUAUUGGGCGUAAAGAGCUCGUAGGCGGUUUAGAAAGUCAGGUGUGAAAACUCUGGGCUCAACCCAGAGACGCCACUUGAUACUUCUAUGACUUGAGUUCGGUAGGGGACCAUGGAAUUCCUGGUGUAGCGGUGAAAUGCGCAGAUAUCAGGAGGAACACCGAUGGCGAAGGCAGUGGUCUGGGCCGAUACUGACGCUGAGGAGCGAAAGCGUGGGGAGCGAACAGG
rnacentral:rRNA from 1 species